CGUCUAUAUACGUAUAGCAUAUCAAUAAGCGGAGGAAAAGUCAACUACCUACGCUUAGGAUGUUGAGUCAUCGUAUCGCGCGUGCUUGAUCUAUACAUGACUCUGCGCAUAUCAAUAAGCGGAGGAAAAGAAACUAACAAGGAUUCCCUUAGUAACGGCGAGUGAAGCGGGAAGAGCUCAAAUUUGAAAUCUUCAAGGUUCUACCUUGACGAAUUGUAGUUUAAAGAAGUGUUUUCUGUUAGAGGAGUAGCAAAAGUUCCUUGGAAUGGGACAUCAUAGAGGGUGAGAAUCCCGUAUUUGGUUAUUCUUUCUAGCUUUGUGAUACACUUUCAAAGAGUCGGAUUGUUUGGGAAUGCAGUCCAAAAUGGGUGGUAAAUUUCAUCUAAAGCUAAAUAUUGGCGAGAGACCGAUAGCGAACAAGUACCGUGAGGGAAAGAUGAAAAGAACUUUGAAAAGAGAGUUAAACAGUACGUGAAAUUGUCAAAAGGGAAGCGUUUGACACCAGUGUUGUUUUUCCGAAAAUCAAUUAAGAGUGGCUUGAUUUUGUGUUGUAUUGACCUUAUCAGCUUUCUUCACUCUUUUUCGAGUCUUUCUUAAUGCACUUUUCGGUUAACAAGUCAACAUCAAUUUCUUUUGUUGUAAAAGGGUAUUUGGAAGGUGGCUUUCUUUUCGGAGAAAGUGUUUAUAGCCUUAUACCUCUACAAUCGGAGAGAUUGAGGUCUGCAGCGUAGAUCCUUCGGGGCUAGAUACACUUGUGCUAAGUUAUAGCUUUUCAUAGACAACUUGUUGACUAUGUUUAGUCAUGUAGCUUACCCGCUUGUGCUAUUUUACCUACGCUUAGGAUGUUGAGUCAUCACACAUCUCU
rnacentral:rRNA from 1 species